rnacentral:rRNA from 1 species
AGAGUUUGAUCCUGGCUCAGAGUGAUCGCUGGCGGCGUGCUUAACACAUGCAAGUCGAGCGAGAUUUGACAGCGUAUCGUCAGGUCUAGCGGCAGACGGGUGAGUAAUACUUGGGCAAUCUGCCCUCUAGUGGGGGACAACCGGCCGAAAGGCUGGCUAAUACCCCAUAAGACCACAGGGAUGCAUAUCCUAGGGGUCAA